UGUGAAUACAUGCACAUUGGUUUCUUAUGCAGAUGGUAUAAACUCUAGGGCCUGUGCUAGAAGUAGUUUGUUCCUUGACAAGGCCUUUUGAACUGUGCUGCAGGGCAUCUUGUGGAUAUGUAUGUAAUUAUAUAGAGAGUAAUGCACACAAUGUGUGCACAUAAAAUAUAUAUUUACACACCUACAACUCCUGCCUCAGACUGUUAUCCUUUUUAGUGUAUUUAGUUAUUCACUCUUUAUGAUUUAGAUCCUCAGCGCUUAUAAAAGGAGUAACUUGGGGUGCCUGGUCACUUCAUUUGUUUAUUAGACAGAAGUGAUUCUUGAUAUAAGUAUUUAACCCAUUCAACUUCAUUGACCCCACUCUUCUGUUUUUAUUUAUACCUUGACCCUUAGGAGCUACUUUAACUGAGGAAUGCUCUAAGGCUCAUCAAACAGAUUUUAGAAACCUUUACUACCCUAUAUAUAUUCUCAUGCUACCAUUAUGAGAAUCUUUUUUGUAAAGGAGAUGGACUUUUAGGAGUGUAUGUGAACUCCAGAGUGAUGUUCUGGGGCAAAGAGCUACUAAGCCAAAUUGAAUCUAUGCAGGUGGAGGAUGCAAUGUUAAUUCAGUAACAACUUGCUUAGCUGUUUCAAUACAGAAUUCUUCUUAUAGGGCUAUUGAGAAACCAAAUGAAGUGGCUUCUGAGCCUCUUAAUGUGCUGAGUCUUAAUCUGGACUAGAGAAACUACAUUUUAGGGAAACUCUUUGUACCCACUAUAAACGUGCUGGUUUGAAGAGUGGUGGAGCUCCAGGGAGUGCUCAGAGGUGUGUCAGGUUGUCUGUGUGACCUCUGUCUGUACUGCCGAUCCUGGUGUUGAGUGAGUAAACACCACUGUGAAGAGAAUUCAUUGCCUUAGGACCGUGACAGCGUGAAAGUAGUUUUCAGGUGGAAUGAACACAUGGAAUUGCACGGAAAUAGUUUAAUUUUUUUACAUAGAAGGUUUUGUAUAUAAUGUUUAUCAGUGAAUACUUUCAGGAUCAUUUUCACUAAGGCACCUUUUUUUUAUUUUAUUCAAAACAGGUCUGGUGUACAUACAUACGAACAUACAUACAUACAUAUUUUAGUAUAAUGUUACUUGGGUUUGAUUAUAAAAAUUGUUGGUCUGUUUUAUUUAUCUGCAUAUAACAGUGAUUGGCAUUCCUGAAUUUAAUAUUUGCAUCUUGACGCAUUAAAAUAAGGAGAGUUAUUUGUCUCUGAGCACUAAACAUUUGUAUAUUUUUGUAAUUCUGCAACCCUCAGUCCAGACUAUGGGGGAGGAUAGGAAAAAGGUGUGCUUUGGCAUUUUAAAUUACCAUCAGAGUUACAUAUACAAUUACAAAAAUACUGCUUUGUUCGUUUUUUAAGUACAUUGUAUUAUGCUGCAAAUAUCUGAAUAUUUAUAUUUCUCUGGGUUAUUUUUUUCUUUAUAUACAUUUUCAUAUGUUGAACCACUGGAGACUUGUAGCAUUCAUUUGUGGUAGGAGUCAGAGUGUUGUCUUUGUCUCCUUUGUCUUCGCCUUGUCUAUUGUGGAAAUAAUAAAAUUUGUUAGUUGCUUUGAAUCUUUGUAGGUCUCAGCAGUUGUACAUACUUAAUUU
rnacentral:lncRNA from 1 species